CAUCUGUUCAUUUGUAAGUCGCUCUGGAUAAGAGCGUCUGCUAAAUGACGGAAA
rfam:Salmo salar isolate Sally breed double haploid chromosome ssa02, whole genome shotgun sequence.